GGAAGGGUGGCAGAGCGGUUGAAUGUACCGGUCUUGAAAACCGGAGUCCUCUUUCGGGGACCGUGGGUUCAAAUCCCACCCCUUCCG
rnacentral:tRNA from 1 species